rnacentral:rRNA from 1 species
AUUGAACGCUGGCGGCAUGCCUUACACAUGCAAGUCGAACGGCAGCACGGGAGCAAUCCUGGUGGCGAGUGGCGAACGGGUGAGUAAAGUAUCGGAACGUGCCCCGUCGUGGGGGAUAACGUAGCGAAAGUUACGCUAAUACCGCAUACGAUCUAUGGAUGAAAGCGGGGGAUCCCCAGACCUAGCGCGAUUGGAGCGGCCGAUAUCAGAUUAGGUAGUUGGUGGGGUAAAGGGCCACCAAGCCGACGAUCUUUAGCUGGUCUGAGAGGACGACCAGCCACACUGGGACUGAGACACGGCCCAGACUCCUACGGGAGGCAGCAGUGGGGAAUUUUGGACAAUGGGCGAAAGCCUGAUCCAGCCAUGCCGCGUGCAGGAUGAAGGCCUUCGGGUUGUAAACUGCUUUUGUACGGAACGAAAAGGACUGCCCUAAUACGGUGGUCCCAUGACGGUACCGUAAGAAUAAGCACCGGCUAACUACGUGCCAGCAGCCGCAGUAACAC